UCGUUGUAGCAAUACGAUGGAAAGUCUAGUGGCGAACGGGUGCUUAACACGUGGGCAACCUGCCAAGAAGUGGGGGAUAGCUCGCCGAAAGGCGAAUUAAUACCGCAUGUGAUUAGAGAGGACCUCUUUUCCAAAUUAAAGUCGGGGCAACCUGACGCUUCUUGUGGGGCCCGCGGCCUAUCAGCUAGUUGGUGUGGUAACGGCUCACCAAGGCUUUGACGGGUAGCUGGUCUGAGAGGACGACCAGCCACACUGGGACUGAGACACGGCCCAGACACCUACGGGUGGCAGCAGUCGAGAAUUUUUGACAAUGGGGGAAACCCUGAUCGAGCGACGCCGCGUGGAGGAUGAAGGUCUUCGGAUUGUAAACUCCUGUCAUUGGGGAACAAGGUGCAUACGUUAACUGCGUGUGCAUUGAUAGUACCCGAAGAGGAAGAGACGGCUAACUCUGUGCCAGCAGCCGCGGUAAUACAGAGGUCUCAAGCGUUGUUCGGAUUCAUUGGGCGUAAAGGGUGCGUAGGCGGCGCGGUAAGUCGGGUGUGAAAUCUCGGAGCUUAACUCCGAAACUGCAUUCGAUACUGCCGUGCUUGAGGACUGGAGAGGAGACUGGAAUUCACGGUGUAGCA
rnacentral:rRNA from 1 species